UGCAUAUUGUACUUGAAUAGAGAUUACGAUAUUUCCUUUAACGUUUAUCUAUUGUCCACAGUAUAAAUAAACGUUGUAGUCAGUUGUAGUGUACCUAUAGUAUUCCCUUCAAUGUGUAUAUAUUGUCCACAGCAUAAAUUUAAAAAAAGCGUUGAUAAUGCCCACGUAUUAAGUGGGCGAAACACGUGUCUGCUCAAAAAGUUUUAUGGGUAAUUAGGGCAUAAAAACUUGGGAUCACAUGUGAUGAAAUUUUAGUUUCUCUUUCUCUGUGCAAAGUAGCAGUACCAACAGUCCUGAGGAAAGAGUGAAGGUGCCUUUUGUCAUUGGGAAUGGAGACACUGUGUUAUUGUUAAAGGAAAAAUUUAUGACAUAAAUUGAUUGACUAACAAAUAAGAAAGAGUAGGAUGUUAAUUUUGACCCUAGCGAUGAUGACAUGGGAUGUCUGACCUGGUACUCCUUCUCAAUUUGAUUUUCAUUCCACAGUUAAUUCAGGUAAUAAUGCAUAGUUAAAUUAAUAUUAAUUACACUUUAUUAAUCUGGUGUCAAUUUGGUUAACAAACAAACUAGAAUAUAAUCAUAGGAUGACGAACAUAUGUUACUUCUUUGUAUAAUACCGUCAGCUUAUUCAAUUUUUUUCUAAAAGAGAACAUCGAUGUGCAGUUCCAAUCCCCAAUUUAGAAAGGUUUUUUGUUGAGUAUUAAUAUUUUAAGCUGUUGAUUUUGAAAGCCGAAUCUUUAAUAAAUAAAGGAAUUCAGGACUGCCACUGCAGUCUGACGCUCAGAAUACUUUGCAGUGAAGUGAGUUGUCUAUAUUAUAUCAAAGACGAGCAGUCGUCAGCGGUAUUUUAAAUUCAAAUUAUCAUAGUACAAAAGUGGCUGCUACGGUGUGAGUCGAAACUCGUAAGCAUCUAAAUGUUUAGGUUUAAAUAAAAUAAUCUAAUUUUAUUUGGUACAUAAGCGGUCUAUGUAUUACGAUACUUACACUGUUAAUGUAAAUUAUUUUUUUUCACUUUGUUUUGUAUAUGUAUUUCUCUA